AAAUUUGCAGNUCAACUGUAGAAUUGCCUUUAAUACUGGUAUCUUGAAUUAUUAUGAAGUAGUUAGAAUAUGUAGUGUAGCGGUGAAAUGCAUAGAUAUUACAUAGAAUACCNAUUGNGAAGGCAGAUUANUAAUAAUCAAUUGACACUGAUGGACGAAAGCGUAGGUAGCGAACGGGAUUAGAUACCCCGGUAGUCUACGCCGUAAACGAUGGAUACUAGCUGUUGGACUUCGGUUCAGUGGCUAAGCGAAAGUGAUAAGUAUCCCACCUGGGGAGUACGUUCGCAAGAAUGAAACUCAAAGGAAUUGACGGGGGCCCGCACAAGCGGUGGAGCAUGUGGUUUAAUUCGAUGAUACGCGAGGAACCUUACCAGGGCUUAAAUGUAGAUUGACAGGUUUAGAGAUAGACUUUUCUUCGGACAAUUUACAAGGUGCUGCAUGGUUGUCGUCAGCUCGUGCCGUGAGGUGUCAGGUUAAGUCCUAUAACGAGCGCAACCCCUGUUGUUAGUUGCCAGCGAGUCAUGUCGGGAACUCUAACAAGACUGCCAGUGCAAACUGUGAGGAAGGUGGGGAUGACGUCAAAUCAUCACGGCCCUUACGUCCUGGGCUACACACGUGCUACAAUGGUAGGGACAGAGAGCAGCCACUGGGCGACCAGGAGCGAAUCUAUAAACCCUAUCACAUGUUNGGAUGCGGAGUAUUGCAAACUGGAAUACNNUGAAGCUGGAAUCGACUAGUAAUCGCAUAUCACACCAUGAUGCGGUGAAUANUUUNCCNGNCNUNGUACACUCCCNCNGUCGAGCCAUGGAAUGCUGCGAGNACCUGAAGUCCGUCAGCUGUAAGGAGGNGGCNUNGGGNAAAAUCNNUAACNUAGGGUUAAGUCNUAAGCNAGGUANNCC
rnacentral:rRNA from 1 species